rnacentral:rRNA from 1 species
CCUACGGGAGGCAGCAGUGGGGAAUAUUGCACAAUGGGCGGAAGCCUGAUGCAGCAACGCCGCGAUGCGGGAUGACGGCCUUCGGGUUGUAAACCGCUUUCGCCUGUGACGAAGCGUGAGUGACGGUAAUGGGUAAAGAAGCACNGGCUAACUACGUGCCAGCAGCCGCGGUAAUAA